GNGGCCUAACACAUGCAAGUCGAACGGUAACAGGAAGCAGCUUGCUGCUUCGCUGACGAGUGGCGGACGGGUGAGUAAUGUCUGGGAAACUGCCUGAUGGAGGGGGAUAACUACUGGAAACGGUAGCUAAUACCGCAUAACGUCGCAAGACCAAAGAGGGGGACCUUCGGGCCUCUUGCCAUCGGAUGUGCCCAGAUGGGAUUAGCUNGUNGGUGGGGUAACGGCUCACCNAGGCGACGAUCCCUAGCUGGUCUGAGAGGAUGACCAGCCACACUGGAACUGAGACACGGUCCAGACUCCUACGGGAGGCAGCAGUGGGGAAUAUUGCACAAUGGGCGCAAGCCUGAUGCAGCCAUGCCGCGUGUAUGAAGAAGGCCUUCGGGUUGUAAAGUACUUUCAGCGGGGAGGAAGGGAGUAAAGUUAAUACCUUUGCUCAUUGACGUUACCCGCAGAAGAAGCACCCGGCUAACUCCGUGCCCAGCAGCCGCGGUAAUACGGAGGGGUGCAAGCGUUAAUCGGAAUUACUGGGGCGUAAAGCGCACGCAGGCGGUUUGUUAAGUCAGAUGUGAAAUCCCCGGGCUCAACCUGGGAACUGCAUCUGAUACUGGCAAGCUUGAGUCUCGUAGAGGGGGGUAGAAUUCCAGGUGUAGCGGUGAAAUGCGUAGAGAUCUGGAGGAAUACCGGUGGCGAAGGCGGCCCCCUGGACGAAGACUGACGCUCAGGUGCGAAAGCGUGGGGAGCAAACAGGAUUAGAUACCCUGGUAGUCCACGCCGUAAACGAUGUCGACUUGGAGGUUGUGCCCUUGAGGCGUGGCUUCCGGAGCUAACGCGUUAAGUCGACCGCCUGGGGAGUACGGCCGCAAGGUUAAAACUCAAAUGAAUUGACGGGGGCCCGCACAAGCGGUGGAGCAUGUGGUUUUAAUUCGAUGCAACGCGAAGAACCUUUACCUGGUCUUGACAUCCACNGAAAUUUUCAGAGAUGNNNNNGUGCCUUCGGGAACNGUGAGACAGGUGCUGCAUGGCUGUCGUCAGCUCGUGUUGUGAAAUGUUGGGUUAAGUCCCGCAACGAGCGCAACCCUUAUCCUUUGUUGCCAGCGGUCCGGCCGGGAACUCAAAGGAGACUGCCAGUGAUAAACUGGAGGAAGGUGGGGAUGACGUCAAGUCAUCAUGGCCCUUACGACCAGGGCUACACACGUGCUACAAUGGCGCAUACAAAGAGAAGCGACCUCGCGAGAGCAAGCGGACCUCAUAAAGUGCGUCGUAGUCCGGAUUGGAGUCUGCAACUCGACUCCAUGAAGUCGGAAUCGCUAGUAAUCGUGGAUCAGAAUGCCACGGUGAAUACGUUCCCGGGCCUUGUACACACCGCCCGUCACACCAUGGGAGUGGGUUGCAAAAGAAGUAGGUAGCUUAACCUUCGGGAGGGCGCUUACCACUU
rnacentral:rRNA from 2 species